UACGUAGGGGGCUAGCGUUGUCCGGAAUCAUUGGGCGUAAAGCGCGUGUAGGCGGCCCGGUAAGUCCGCUGUGAAAGUCGGGGGCUCAACCCUCGGAAGCCGGUGGAUACUGUCGGGCUCGAGUACGGAAGAGGCGAGUGGAAUUCCUGGUGUAGCGGUGAAAUGCGCAGAUAUCAGGAGGAACACCUAUUGCGAAGGCAGCUCGCUGGGACGUUACUGACGCUGAGACGCGAAAGCGUGGGGAGCGAACAGG
rnacentral:rRNA from 1 species